UGUUUGUUUGCUCUAAAGAUAUUCUGAAAUGUGGAGGCUGUUAUCACUCAAACGUUAGAAGUUCUCCAUCCAUCUUUUCACAAUUACUCACAUGGAAUUCUGGUAGAAAAAAAUCCCUAUCGAGGGAGGCAAGAGUUCCCGUCUAUUCCUCCAGAGAAAGACUCCUUCAACUUUGGAUACAAAAAACUAUUGGAUAAAAAGCAGCUUCCAAUUAUGUGCCUUGGAUUUUCCUUGGGA
rnacentral:lncRNA from 1 species